rnacentral:rRNA from 1 species
UACGUAGGGUGCAAGCGUUAAUCGGAAUUACUGGGCGUAAAGCGUGCGCAGGCGGUUAUGUAAGACAGAUGUGAAAUCCCCGGGCUCAACCUGGGAACUGCAUUUGUGACUGCAUAGCUAGAGUACGGUAGAGGGGGGUGGAAUUCCGCGUGUAGCAGUGAAAUGCGUAGAUAUGCGGAGGAACACCGAUGGCGAAGGCAAUCCCCUGGACCUGUACUGACGCUCAUGCACGAAAGCGUGGGGAGCAAACAGG